CUCACCUGGAGUACUGUGUCCAGUUCUGGGCACCACAGUUCAAGAAGGACACUGACAAAUUGGAACGUGUCCAGAGGAGGGCAACCAAAAUGGUCAAAGGCCUGGAAACGAUGCCUUAUGAGGAACAGCUAAGGGAGCUGGGCAUGUUUAGCCUGGAGAAGAGGAGGUUAAGGGGUGAUAUGAUAGCCAUGUUCAAAUAUAUAAAAGGAUGUCACAUAGAGGAGGGAGAAAGGUUGUUUUCUGCUGCUCCAGAGAAGCGGACACGGAGCAAUGGAUCCAAACUACAAGAAAGAAGAUUCCACCUAAACAUUAGGAAGAACUUCCUGACAGUAAGAGCUGUUCGACAGUGGAAUUUGCUGCCAAGGAGUGUGGUGGAGUCUCCUUCUUUGGAGGUCUUUAAGCAGAGGCUUGACAACCAUAUGUCAGGAGUACUCUGAUGGUGUUUCCUGCUUGGCAGGGGGUUGGACUCGAUGGCCCUUGUGGUCUAUUCCAACUCUAUGAUUCUAUGAUUCUAUGAAACGCUGUUACCCUUUUACCCUCCUAGUCUUAUUUUAUCCUGUCUCUAACUCUUCUACCUCCCCUCACACAAGAACCAACUGCACUAACUGUCUCUCUAUUUCCAACUGUCUGCCAACUGCUUUCCCAACCGCUCCUUCCCAGUGCUUCUUCCCAACUGUCUAAACCUCUGGCUAAGCCCUUUUAAAAACAGGUAGGCUCCGCCUUUGGCUUUUCUAUUAGUCUACCUAUUAACUCUUUCUCUCCCCCUGUGCAGACAUUUCCAAAAGAACGGGCAAACGCCACACAUGGAAACACCAUCCUUUCUAGGCAUGGGUCGCAGCGGUUUCUUGUUUUCCCUGGUACUUCCCUCCAGAAACUCACCCUUUAGUGCUACAUCAGAGCAAAAGUCAAUGCGGAUAAAGCCCAAUGGAUGCUUGCUCUGAUUCAGCAGUAAAUAGAGAGCAUAAAACCACAACAAAGACCAUAAGAAGAGCCUGUUGCAUCAGGCCAAUGGCUUAUAUAGCCUAAUGUCAUGUUCACACAGUGGCCAACCUGAUAUCCAUGGAAAUCUCACGAGGAGGACCCAAGCAGAAGAGCAGAAAGGCAGUUUCCAGAAGCAACAGCCAACCUUGAAAGGUUGUGGAGCAGAGGUAAUCUUAAAUAUGGGUAUUGUGUUAUGUUCUAUGAACUGGACACUAAGGGC